rnacentral:rRNA from 1 species
ACGAACGCUGGCGGCGUGAUUAACAGCAUGCAAGUCGAACGCGAAAGUCCGCAAGGGGUACUCUUCCCGAGUAGAGCGGCGAAACGGGUGAGUAACGCGUGGAGAACCUACCUUCGACAGGGGGAUAACCUCCGAACGGGGUGCUAAUACCGCAUAGACAUCCCGGGAUCGCAUGUCACGGAAGGUCAAAGGUGGGCCUCGAUUUAAGCUGACCAGUUGAAGAGGGGCUUCGCGUCCCGAUUAGCUAGUUGGCGGUGUAACGGACCACCAAGGCUACGAUGGGUAUCUGGUCUGAGAGGAUGGCAGGCCACACUGGAACUGAGAUACGGCCCAGACUCCUACGGGAGGCAGCAGUCGAGAGGCUUUGGCAAUGGGGGAAAGCCCUGACCGAAGCGAACGCCGCGUGGAGGAUGAAGGCCCUUCGGGUUGUAAACUCCUUUGUCGGGAGAUGAAUCACGAUCAGGCUGAACAUGCCGGGGGUCGGGCUGGACGGUACCCGGCGAAUAAGCUCCCGGCUAACUCCGUGCCAGCAGCCGCGGUAACUACGGGGGGAGCAAGCGUUGUUCGGAAUCACUGGGCGUAAAGGGCGUGUAGGCGGCCUGAUAAGUGGAAUGUGAAAUCCCUCCGGCUUAACCGGGGACCUGCAGUCCCGAGACUGUCAUGGACUUGAGGACGGGAGAGGAUGAAGGGAAUUCCUGGUGUAGCGGUGAAAUGCGUAGAUAUCAGGAGGAACACCGGUGGCGAAAGGCGCUCAGUCUGGCCCGAUAUCUGACCUGAAUGCCGAAAGCUAGGGGAGCAAACGGGAUUAGAUACCCCGGUAGUCCUGGCCCUAAACGAUGAAUGCUUGGUGUGGCGGGUAUCGAUCCCUGCCGUGCCGCAGUUAACGCGUUAAGCAUUCCGCCUGGGGAGUACGGUCCGCAAGGCUUGAAACUCAAAGGAAUUGACGGGGGCCCGCACAAGCGGUGGAGCAUGUGGUUCAAUUCGACGCAACGCGAAGAACCUUACCCAGACUUGACAUGCAUUCGACGCGUGUGGAAACACACGUUCCCUUCGGGGCGGAUGCACAGGUGCUGCAUGGCUGUCGUCAGCUCGUGUCGUGAGAUGUUGGGUUAAGUCACGCAACGAGCGCAACCCUUGUCCUUAGUUGCUAACGGGUAAAGCCGAGCACUCUAGGGAGACUGCCGGUGAUAAACCGGAGGAAGGUGGGGAUGACGUCAAGUCCUCAUGGCCCUUACGUCUGGGGCUACACACGUACUACAAUGGCCGGUACAGAGGGUUCCGAAACCGCGAGGUGGAGGCAAUCCCAAAAAAACCGGUCUCAGUUCGGAUUGCAGUCUGCAACUCGACUGCAUGAAGUCGGAAUCGCUAGUAAUCGCUGAUCAGCAGGCAGCGGUGAAUACGUUCCCGGGCCUUGUACACACCGCCCGUCAAGCCACGAAAGUCGGUAGCACCCGAAGUCGCCAUGCCAACCGAAAGGAGGCAGGCGCCUAAGGUGAGACCGGUGAUUGGGGCU